UACGUAGGGUGCAAGCGUUGUCCGGAAUCAUUGGGCGUAAAGCGCGCGUAGGUGGUCAUGUAAGUCCGCUGUGAAAGUCAAAGGCUCAACCUUUGAAAGCCGGUGGAUACUGCAUGACUAGAGUACGGAAGAGGCGAGUGGAAUUCCCGGUGUAGCGGUGAAAUGCGUAGAGAUCGGGAGGAACACCAGAGGCGAAGGCGGCGACCUGGACAGUUACUGACACUCAACUACGAAAGCGUGGGGAGCAAACGGG
rnacentral:rRNA from 1 species